rnacentral:lncRNA from 1 species
GCCGGCUUUAAUGCAGCGAAGUGGCCUUGCUUGGAGGGAGAACUUCCUGGAGAACUUCCCAUAAGAGUACCUGGAGACCGCCUGCCUCACUGCUCAAGAAGUUCCAGGUUGCUGGUGUGGGGGAAGAACUCAGGAAUUCGGGUCAGGCAACCUGACUAUCUGCUGUGUGACCAACACUAGACCCAGCCCUGUCUCCAUCUGCUGUGUGACCAAUGCUAAACCCAACCCUGUCUCCAUCUGCCUAAGAAUCUUGGUCAAGAGCUUCCUUUUGGUCCUCUGUUUCUUCAUUUUUGAGGUCAAAGUUUCUUCCUCUCUAGGAGUCUGUUCUUCUUCCUCCGGCCCCUGCUGGGACUCUGGAAUCCCUGAGUAAAGCAAGGCGUUCAGAAGCUCCUCCACUGUAAUGCACACGUGUUCUCACUGGUGGACAAAUCUUUAACUCUCCUGUUGCUCACUGAAUAGUGCUCCAGAGAUGUUCUGACCAGCAUACAGCAGAUGACAGGGACAGGAAACCAGAUGGAAAGGGAUUUAUUAUAAUUUUUCCUUCACAAAACUAUACUUUAGAAAAGUGAAACAUGCUGAAUGCCGAAAAUUGGGAAAGUAUAGAAAAUUAUAAAGAAUAAAAAUAAAAUAUAAU